rfam:Pristionchus pacificus strain PS312 contig7221, whole genome shotgun sequence.
UCUUCAUUUCACAUACUCUCUCGCCCCUCAACCGGUCGAGAUAGUAUGUGAAAUGAAGAGA